ACAACGAAUCCCUACAGAAAACUGCUCGCCAACAUUCUACGCCGUAUGCCAUCGGUUAGAGCAUUCGGGUUUGAAUCAUCCGGCCGAGAUAGAUUCUUUUAUUUCGAGGUAAAUGGAAUAUCCGCGCAAAGAAAAUGGCAGACGGCACUUUUCUCUCUCCGAGCCUAACGGGAGGGUGGCUCUUUUCGAGGGCGUCGAUAAUCGCGCGGACGACGAGGCUCGCGAGUAAAUGCCGACGCGGGAAUAAUAACGAGGCGCACGUCUCUAUUAUUUGUCGGGCCGUGCCGCUGUCGCAGACGCAAUCACGAAAGCAUCGCACUUUUGUGGAAGUAGAAUUGGGAUUGAUGCAGCUCCUGGGAACGUUCUCUGUGCGACGACCUUCGACUCGUUCGUCUAGCUUCGGGUGCAAACGUUCUUCUCCGAUGCUUGCUUCGUUACCAGCAAAUUAAUGGGUUUGCAUUUUCCAUGGAAAGAGAAACCAGGCCACGUUUCCAAGGAGUCACGUGCGCAGCCACAGCGUCGAGCAACGAUGUCCAUUCGCGACCAACGUCGUCGAGAUUUCUACUGAAUUGUCAAGCAAACAAGUAAAGUUCAUCGACCGAGGAUAACGAGGGGGUGGAAAGGGGAGUAAACAGGAUCGAAAAACGGUUAUUUUCGCUGAUCUUAAUGGUCGAUUUUCGGUAUCGUGGGAAUACAGUUGCUCGCGAAAGUAUUUGAACACUGGUAAACAUCUUUUCCGAUAUAUUGGGUACGUUAUAUGAAAUCUUUCGAAAGUUGAUAAAAUCCGAUUAGUAUCUCACGAUCGCAUUAAUCGAGUUUCAAACAAAUUAAAAAAUAUUUAUAUUAAUAAGUCUCCGUAUUCGGUGGGAUUAUCUUUAAUAUUUUAUAUGCUUCAGAUGGCUAUUCAUGCUGUGUACCGUAUACCAUUCCUUUUUACAAAAUAUACGUUUGCAAUAAAUAUCUUGCAACGUUUAUUAAUCGAUAUAACCAUGGCAGCCGCGUCCUGUUACAGGGUUAACGAUAUUUCAAAACGUUUGAUACGAAACACACAAUACACACACAGAAAUUUUCUAUGUUAAUUAUCCAAACACUUUCCUGAGCCAUCAAUCGGUGUUUUGGGAUUAUGGGGGAUAUUUGUUACGGUAGGAAGAAUAAUUGAAUUAGAGAGCUGAUCGCUAUUCAGUUAUAAUACAAAUAUUGUAAUGCAAAUGGUAUUACACGAAUAUCUCAAUUCGUCUGGCGGUUCGACAUUCCAUCUGCGUUUCUGUUUUUAUUGGCUAACGAAAUUGCACAGCCACGUUUAUUCAUCGGAUAUUUUGAAACCGUCCAGAUCCACAUAAUCACGUUGAUCCCGUAUUUUUAAACAUGUUUCUAUUUAAUUAAAAAUAAAGAGAAAUCGAUAUUGCCUCUGACUAUUUGCGAUAUAAAGAAAACAUCGUUCCAAUGUUAAACGAUUUUUGUUCAAAAUAUUACAUCGCGAUAAACGGAAUAAUAAAUGCGUUUCAUAAUGUUCAGAACCAUUAUACUAUCCGAAGUUUAAUUUUCCAUGAUGCUGUUAGUGGAACGUGAACAAGCCCGGAACGCUACCUGUUUCUUAAACGAAGAUAGGCAAAUUGAUAGAGAGAAAAGUUAGGUUGCUUAACGAGAAUCGUCUCCUUACGAUACCGCGCUUCGCUUGCGCGCAAUAUGUAGUUGGUAUUUAUUUAAAUGGAGCUAUGCAUCGAUUCUCCUCGUUAUUUCGCUUACAAGGUAACGCCUUCGUUGCAAGUCGGAAACCUACUUUCCAACAGCGUACAAAACAAUUUAUGGAAGAUUAUUUAUGGAAUAAUGUGCCUUAGCUUUAUUCAGCAAAGAGAUAGAACACUCGAGUAACUAAAUAGUCGUUCUCGCCCCCUUAACUUUCCAUCGUCUGAUCAAGUAUACGCACAAUGGCGCCAAAAGUUUCCUCCCUCGGCAAUUACGCAAUGCGUUCCAAUUCACGGAGUCCUUCUUAGACGAGGUAGGAAUAAGGGCUCGCUUGAACACCCUUCCAUUCGUUCCCUUUCCACAGCAUCUUGAGGUCAAAGGUAACAACGUCGGGUAGAUAGUCGGUGAUUGCGAAUCGACCAGUUUCCAGGUGGCGGAACUCGCCGAGUCUCCCAUUACAGCUUAACGAUUACACACACUUUUCUGUUUCUCCGUUGACUGGAAAUCGUUGGUCUGAGCUCCGUUUCCGAUCACAGGGGAAUACUGUUCUCCAUUGUGUAAGGAAAUGGGAAAGGGCGAAGAAAAAAAGUUUCAAGCAAGAUGCCGCGUCUCGAAUCGCGACGACGCGCUUCGACGUGACAUUCUCACAUUCAUCGACGUAGGAAAUCGUAAUCAAGCAGCCAUUACGGCAAUUACCAAAUCGUUAGCUCUCUAACUAUUCCAUUAUUUGGUCGCACGAGUGGUUCGUCAUGUGGUCGUCGAGCCAACAAAUAACACGUCGCAAUCAACACUAUCGUUAUUUGCAUACUCGAGAUCCGAGCGCAAUUUUUGCGCGAUAGUUUCAUCAGUGAGUGACUAGCGAACGGAUCGUUGAUCGACCUAUCGAACGAGUCUCAGCGGAGAAUCGAAUUCGAAGCAUUUGGAUCGGAACGAUCGAUCUGCUUGAUUAAUCCACGGUUGUUCAUGAUCAACUUUUUUCUGGAACGUCUCGAUCAGCCGCGAAAUUGGAUAUUUCAGCAACUAAACGAAGGGAAGAGAUCGUGUUUCGGAAAACGGAAAAGUAGACAUUGGUUUUCAGCGCCUGGAAUACACGCCAAUCGUGGCGAUAGACGUGUAAACUGUGCGUAAUUAAUCAAUCGUCGAUUAAGUCUGCGUUGCAAAGGUUAAGGACGAUUAAUCGCAUACACGCUGUGACGCGCUUAUCGCGUAUUUUAUGUCGACCCUCUUGAAACAAUGUCACGGCCGAACGAGGCAGGCUAACGAGGAAAAAAUCUGUCGCUGAUCGGGGCCGUUGCCAAUUAGUUCUCUUUACAAUUCACGAUAAUAAACUGGAAUAUUAAACAAAUCGCAGAGAAACUAAACAGAGAAAACGAGAAACAGAAAUAACGCGACAAAAGAAACUGUGUCAUAUAUAUGCUAAUGCAAAAGACGAAGAUUAAAAUAGCCGAUUUUUCGUAUCCAAUUCACCCUAUGAUCUCUGAUCUAAGAUCGCCUUAUGAUGCUCUCUCAUGCAUACGCUCGUUUGUCUCGCGCAAACGUGUACCAGCGACAGAAUAAAUCACGCCAGGCUCUUGCCAGGCUACGAGUCAGAUAACCAAAUAAGUUCCUCAGCUUUAUCGCGAAUCCCGGACAAAUCGUCGAAAUUUGGCACGACCAGAGGCAGCGGCCGCGAUCGUGAGUGGAUACGAGAAGCUAAAUGGAGCGGUAAAAGUGACCAGCGUCGGCCGAUAGCGUGCGUCCGCGCGUAAGCACGUAAUGGCUUCGAGAAUGGAACGAGGAGAAGGAAGAGGAACGGGUCGUUAAUAGCAAGACUGAGUGUAGGCCGCACGCAACGGCGAACAGGUCGUUCUCUGGAUACCGCAAAUUGCUUUGUUAUAUCUAUACUAGAUCAAUUAUUAUGUUCUUUACGAGACCAGUCGAUGUCCUUUUGUGUAUUUACGAACGGGAAUUUAUACACGUGAUACCGCAAUGAAAACCAUAACUUGGUUAAAUGUACUGUUAUUCAACAUCGAAUAACGAAUGAAAUAAUACUCGAGUUUUAUCUGGCUGACAAAUUGACCCCUGACCAGGGAUGGUAAUACGAGCCUCGUUAACGGACGAAAAGAGACGAAUAUUCCAUGGAAAUGGUAUCGUAUUCGAAUUAAUAUGCAACGAUUUCUUGGAUAAACGGAAGAACAGAGG
rnacentral:lncRNA from 1 species